AUGAUGAAUGGGUGUCCCUGCAGAACAGAGCAACCACAAGAACCUGAUCCCAGGACGAGUCACACUGAGGAGGACAAGGACAAGGCCACCUGGCAGCCAAGAGGGGGCCCAGAGCACAUGGUUCUAGUUCUUUCUCGUCGGGGCUGUGACAGCAGAGAAGUAGCCUCUCGUCAGGCAAAGACUGACAUGGGGACCCUCAGAAGUCAUCAGAACCCCAGGAAGGCCUUCCUGCUUUUCUCUGCUGGGUGGGGAUGGUGGCAGAAGCCAGCUGAGAGAGAGAAGCGGCCUGCAGCUGCUUUGGAAGACGGCUGCCUCGAAGCCUCAAGGCCCCAGUCCCUGCUGCAGGAAGGCAGGCUAGUCUCUGCACCCCACCUCGGCUGCCUUCCUGGGGCCAGAUGUCCCCACCCCCACCUCGCCCCCACUCACAGAGGAAGCCAGGUGAGGCCCCACCCCACCCCGUGCCACUGCCACCCUCCUGCUGCCAGCAACCCCCUGCCCGAGGGCCUGCCCUCCACACGGCCUGCCACCCUUCACCCCUGUCUGCCAUCACGGCCGCCUGUUUCCAGCUGGAACCUCCUUGAGUCUGGGACAGAAACUCUAACCGGAUUAACUUCAGCAGUGAUUUCCAAAAGCAAAACAUUGCUGAGAAGAAUGAGCUUUAGCUUCGUGCGUGCUACUUCAAUCUCUCCCUGAACUCUCACCUCUCUUUAAAACACCACAUAAGAGGUUAACUGAUGCCAUGCUCCCAGUGUUAAUCUCCAUGCUAGGUCAUACUGGCUGUGGAAGUACGUGUAGGAUCUGAAAGCUGCCUGAUAUAAGAACUAAUACCUCCAGUCCACUGGCAGGGCCCAGAGAAUCCUGCCUUGGGAGCCUGUGACCUGGGUUCCCUGAAGCCAAGGCCAGGGCAGCAACAGAAUCCAGGAGGUCCCCACAGACAGGGGGUCCCACCUGAGGGGCAAGGUUGGGGGUGCCCAUGAGCCAGGUGGCUGGGGUGCCCACCAGCUGAUGAGACGCAUAGGGGACACUGGGGACAGAUAUGUGUCUCCAUCGCUCUUGUCUCUCUGUACUUGGGUUUGCAGGCCCAUGUCUAUGAAUUUGCCUGGGUGUUUGUCUAUGUGGCAGUUCUUGGGCAUUGCCUGUGGGUGUGUUUGUGUGAUUUUCUGUGUGCACCUGUAAGCAUCCACCUCUCUGUUCAUGCAACCACUGUCUAAUGGGCCCGGUCCUGGGCCAAGUCCUGGAUGGGGGGGUGGAAGACUCGGUCCCUACCUCAUCACACCCAGUCUGGUGAAAAGUGGAUGGGACACAAGGAAUCACUCCCUGAAAAGUGUAGCCCAGUGUGAUGAUGGAAAUCCAUGCUGCGCAGAGAGGGCAUGGGAUAAGGGGGAGGUCAGCAGAGACCCUGAGACAGUGCGCUGAUGGAAACACUUGAUGCUCUGAGAAAAUGACAGGAAAGCUGAGUGAGCCGGGACGCAUGGGGUCGGCCAGACGGGUGCGAGAGGAAAGUUUUCCAGGCAGAGGGAACAGCAUGUGCAAAAGCUGGGGCACAGAGGAGGGUAAGGAGGCCAGGGUGGCAAAGCAGAGACAGCUGAGAGACAGCAGGGGGAGAGGGCACGGGGUGGGGCCGGAACUGGACCUAAAAUCUUGGAGGCCACAGUGACAAUACUGGGCUGGUCCUGAGCACUGCAGGAGUGUUUGGUUAGAAGGGCUACACCGUCUGCUAGGAGGAGAAUGGGCUGCACCGGGCCUGGGGCAGGGCUGAGAAGUCAUCCAGUGAAGAGAGUGGAAGGAUAAGGGCAAAGCUUGGCAAUGGGGGAAGUGUGCAAUGGUGGCUUCUUGUGUAUGUGUGUGCACGUAUGCACGUGUGCCUGUGUGGGUGUGCACACGCCCAAAGACCUCUCCCUCUCCCCUGCCAACCUUGCACCCGUGUCCCCCCACCGCCUCGCCGCGGACAUGACAGUGACGGUAAGGAGGGCUCGGUGUUGCAACUGCGUUUCCUCUCGAACCCGGGGCCACCAGAGAUUAGCUGAGAGCCCCGUGUGCGCCAGGCGAUAACACCCCCACUCCCCCCCGUUUCCUAAUCUCUGAUUCAUUUCCAACUGAUAACAGGACGAGGGCCCAUGGGCGACUAAGAAAUGCCCCAGCAGGUCCUGCCAAGACUGUGGCCGGGCUGCCUACAGGGGCUCUUAGACGGCAAGAGCCUCAGAAAGAUGAGGGUCGGGGGUGAGCUUGGAGGGCGAGAGAGACAGGGAGAGAAGCAGGGAGGCAGGGAGAUGGACACAGACACAGCAGACGCAGAGGAGCCGGGGUAGGGGUAGGUGAUAGGAAAGAGAUAAGGAGAGAGAAACACGGAGAGCCAGACAGACAGACUGACAGAUGUAUAAAUACGGAAAGAGAGGGGUUGGGAGUCCCGGGGGCUGGAUGGGCUUACGAAAGAGAGAGAAAAACAGACGAGACAGAGACAGACAGAGAAGAGGUGACCCAAGGUCAGGAGACGUGGGGGCCUCUGGAGGAGCACAGGGCUGUGGGCUGCACGGCUGUGGGGCUGAUGGAGCCAUGCUCCCCAGCCGCAGGGCUCACCAGAACGGGGGCUCAGCCAGGGCAGAAGGGACAGAGGAGCGCCCCGGGGUUUAUUUGUAUCCUGCUAAGGUCUGGUGUGGGCUUCCCCAGUGGCUCAGCGGCAAAGAAUCCGCCUACAGUGCAGGAGACUCGGGAGAUGUGGGUUUGAUCCCUGGGUCGGGACGAUCCCUUGGAGAAGGGAAUGGCAACCCACUCCAGUAUUCUAUCCUGGAGAAUCCCAUGGACAGAGGAGCCUGGCGGGCCACAGUCCAUGGGGUCACAAAGAGUCAGACACGACUGAAGCGACUGGACACACAAGGUCUGGUAGGGCUGGAGUAAAGCUGGACAGUCAAGGUGGGGUGGGAGGGACUCAGCUUAGAGGCAGGGGGAGCAGAGGGCCAGGCCACCUCUGUGCUGGGACCAGGGGGAAGCCAGUCUGCCCUCAGCUCCUCUCCCAGGUCCAGCUGUCACCUGGGGUCAGAGCCUGAGCUCAUGCCCUGUAAUGCUCAGAGGAGGGGAGGUGGGCUCCAGGAGCUGUGGGGACCUGGCCCCCUCCCUCACUCCUAGGCCGCCACUCCAGGCCCCUCCUUAACAAGGGACAGAAAAACGCAGACAGACAAGCUGCCUUCUUGAGCAGCACCAGGAGCUGGGCAGGCUGCAUAGGCUUCUGGGCUGUGGUCUUCGGGGAGAAAGGGGAUUCCAUGGAGCAGCCCAGCCAGGGGCUGAGGGCUGGGGAAGGGACAGCAGGCCUCUGGGUAGAGGAACUGCGUGAACAGGUGCAGGAUAGGCAGCGUCUGGAGAUAACAAGGGGCAAGGUGCAAUUCUCCAAACCUUGUGGACCUCAUUCUGAGGGCAGAGCUGAGCUCCGGAAGAUGCCCAAACGGAGGACCCAAGUCCCCCAUGGGAGUUUUAGUAAGUCCCUUCAUCCCAAAGCCCCUGGCCCAGACCCACGAAAGAUAGCACAAGCUGCCUAGCCAGGGUCCCCUGGCCAGGCCUGCUCAGGGAGGCUCACCUCGCCCCCCAGCCCCCCUUCUGAUUUGCCAUGCCUGCCCCGAUGCCCUGACUGCCGCGACCACAGGAAACGCUGCCCCAGCUCAGCACUUCCCUUUUCUGAAAUCUGCCCCCAGCAGCCUGGUGGCCAGGGAGGGCAGACUUCCCGCUGCCCCCACCCUGGUCUCUUCCCACCGGUCACAAGUGGUUUGUUCCUGAGCUUCCCUGGGCAGAGGUGACCUUCUUGCCUCAACCACAGAUCAGUUAUUUAUCAGAACAGGAAAGAUGGCACCAGAGAUAUGUCCUCACCCCCCACAGGAGGGCCUGGCCUGCUCCAACGACCGCACGCCUGCUCCCCACAUCACAGAGAAGCGUGUGGCCGGCUCGUGCGGGCUGCACAGGGGAGGGAGCCGAGCCGAAGGCCUCAUGGGCAGGCGGGGCAGGCCUGGGUGAGGCUCUGAGGGCAAGCUGGGAACAUUCUGGGCAUCAGGGUCCCUUGAAUCUGAUGAGACCCGUUCUUCCCCAGAUGCAGUCUCAGUCUUAAGACUCCUCUGUCCCGCUGACUCCUGGGGUCAGAAUCUCAGACCACUUCUCCGUCCCUCACUUCCAUCACAGACCUAGGUCCUGGUGACUAUGGACUCAGAGGCCAGUUGUAAGAAAAGGAAGAAGAGGUUAUCAGCAUUCUUUAACAGUGGCAGUGUAGACAGUUUAGCCUGAAGAAUUAAUCCUGUAUUGUUGAGGGCUGUCCUAUGCAUGGUAGAAUGUUUAACAGCAUCCCCAGCCAUUAUCUACUAAAUGCCCACCAGCACCACCAGUCACAACAUUCAAAACUGUCUCCAGAUAUUGCCAACCAGUCUCUAGGAGGACAAAAAUGUCCCAGGUUGAUAACCAGUGAUCUAGGUAUAUCAAAAGGCCCUGGUUUCAUGGGUAGAAAGUUCUUGGUCUCAUUUGGCCUCUUUUACAGUUUUUUGCUAGAAGGUCACAGACUCAAAGGGUUUCCCUGGUAGCUCGGCUGGUAAAGAUUCCACCUGCAAUGCAGGAGACCCCAGUUCGAUUCCUGGGUCAGGAAGAUCCCCUGGAAAAGGGAUAAGCUACCCACUCCAGUAUUCUUGGGCUUCCCUGGUGGCUCAGACAGUAAAGAAUCUACCUGCAAUGCAGGAGGCCUAGGUUCGAUCCCUAGGUUGGGAAUAUCCCCUGGAGGAGGACAUAGCAACCCACUCUAGUAUUCUUGCCUGGAGAAUCCCCAUGGACAGAGGGGUCUGGCGGGCUAUAGUCCAUGGGGACAAAGAGUCGGACAUGACUGAACUGCUAAAUACAGGACAGCACAGACUCAAAAGACUGUCACUGAUCAGAGUCUGGGGUUCCUGGGAAUUGGAGGAUGUGUUUGAAGCAUCUGUGCUUUCAGGCCCCAUCUGGGAUUCUGGGCAUCACUGUGUUACAGUCUGGAGCCAGAAACAGGAGUCAUGGAACUGGAAAGGGGAAGCUAAAGGUGGGAGGUUUCAUUCAAAGGAAGAUCCAGGAGAUAUACUGAGGGGAGUCAUGCCUCAUGCCUCAUGAGUUGAGUCCUCUAGAAGCCCUCAGGUUCGUGGGCCACAAAAGCCGGGGAAAGCUACAGAAUCCAUAACACAGGGGCAGGAUAUUUGUCCUGGACUCCCUGAGGUGGUAAGCUGGAACUGACAUCCUCAUGUAAAGCCCAGGCCUAAAAGUGCUGCCCUGAGCAAAGUAGAUUUGUAAAGCUGACCCAAGAGACGAAACUUUUCAUCUUCCUUAGAACAGUGGGCAGGGAAAAGAAGUCAACUGUGAGAAAACAAAACCCUCACCAGAGAUACAAAUAGGUAUGGGAUUCAAAUUUACACAAUCCAGCCUCAAGUCUAGAAAUUAAUAUAAAAACUGAUAAAGAACUAUAAAACUUACUUCUAACCACUUUGUAU
ensembl:lincRNA